rnacentral:lncRNA from 1 species
AUUCCUGUGAGAAAAAUACUCAGCAUUGGUUCUCUCAGAUUUAUGAUGCAUCAGAAACCUAAAGAACAUCCAGCAAACCAUGGACUGCGCAUGGAGGAAGACUUCUUUGGUGUGCUUGAAAAGGCUGCUUCACGGCCAAGGAGCUACAGAGCUUUCCAGUGAUGCACAGCACAGUCUCUCCUGGACAUGGACAAGCAAACCCUGCCUUCCAGAACCAGAAGUUUCUCUCUCUGGGAUACCAGCACCUUGUAUGUCCACCCAGAAGAUGCAAAGACUAUAAGCUUACAGCGCGGGAGAAUGAGAUUUUGCUAUUUCUUGGAAAUGAAAACAGCCCAAAGUCCAGAACUGCAUCACUCUGUGCACAAAGUUGGGCUGUUGCUGCCUGCAGAGGUGAUCCUGGAUCUCUGGAACCCCCCAGAAUGUGAAGGCACAAAUACAAAGCAGCAGAAGAAAUAGAGGGCAAUAUAAACACUGCUCAUGCUUUGCUUCUGUGCUGCUCCUGUUCACCAGAGCCAGGAGAGCCGAGCGUGGCGUUCCCACCCGUGACCAUGGCAGAGCACAGCCUGAUGCAGGGAUGGGAGACCCAAAGGGAUGCUGCGGUGCUGCAAAAACAAGGUAAAGCCUUUCUGCUUUAUGUCAUUUUAUUCCCAAGGGAUCUGUGGUAAAGCCCCUACCCCUUCUGUGAGAACAGAUAAAUCAUUUCGGAGCAAUUUUUACUAUCUCUAUUCCCUCUGCUGUGUAUUGGAGGACUGUUUUUCACCAGGAUCUCUAUUUCAUAGAUUCACAUUAGUAAAUUCAUAGAAUCACAGAAUGGCUUGGGUUGGAAGGGACCUCAAAGUUCCAACCCCUAUUUCUUACUUAAAGCUGUCAGGACAAUGCAGUUAUGAAUCAGGCCAAGUCGUUGUUGCUAUAUCAGAAGAAACCUAAGAACGGACUGGCUUUAAUAAGAAAUAAGUUAUAAUCCAUCCCCACAGUUAAAAUUCACGCAUAUGUGACUAUCAAAGCAGCGAUCACACAUUGCUCAUGCACAUUUACAAUCAGUUUCGUUUACAUUUUGGGAUGUACAGUAAGCAUUUAUUUUUGCAGGGAAUAUUUGCUACCCAAGAAAUUUUAGUGGCUCCCUGUUGUAGGAACCAGCCCCUCUGCUUAUCCACAGGCUGAACACAGCUCAGACAGGCGGCGUCUGAGCUCCCUGCACCGCCGCAGUGCUGAACUUAGGCUCAAAUGGGAGAAAUUGCCUCUCUUCAAGAUGAGAGGGGAUUCAUUUUCCAUGCUAGCUCUUUCCUGGGGGUCUUUGCCAAGAAGAGAAAAACCACUUGCAGUUUUCUGUCUUUUCACCAUUUUUUUUUUUUUUUUUUUAAAGAACAUCAAAGUUAUCACUCCUGCUUUC